GACGAACGCUGGCGGCGUGCUUAACACAUGCAAGUCGAGCGGUAAGGCCCUUUCGGGGGUACGACGAGCGGCGAACGGGUGAGUAACACGUGGGUGACCUGCCUUUAGCUCUGGGAUAAGCCUGGGAAACUGGGUCUAAUACCGGAUAUGAUCCUAUGGCGCAUGUUGUGGGGUGGAAAGCCUUGUGCGGCUAGGGAUGGGCCCGCGGCCUAUCAGCUUGUUGGUGGGGUGAUGGCCUACCAAGGCGACGACGGGUAGCCGGCCUGAGAGGGCGACCGGCCACACUGGGACUGAGACACGGCCCAGACUCCUACGGGAGGCAGCAGUGGGGAAUCUUGCGCAAUGGGCGAAAGCCUGACGCAGCGACGCCGCGUGAGGGAUGACGGCC
rnacentral:rRNA from 1 species